rnacentral:rRNA from 1 species
AUACUGCUGGCCUUGGGACCGGGAGAGGCCGGGGGUACCCCUGGGGUAGGGGUGAAAUCCUAUAAUCCCAGGGGGACCGCCAGUGGCGAAGGCGCCCCGCUGGAACGGGUCCGACGGUGAGGGACGAAGGCCAGGGGAGCGAACCGGAUUAGAUACCCGGGUAGUCCUGGCUGUAAAGGAUGCGGGCUAGGUGUCGGGCGAGCUUCGAGCUCGCCCGGUGCCGGAGGGAAGCCGUUAAGCCCGCCGCCUGGGGAGUACGGCCGCAAGGCUGAAACUUAAAGGAAUUGGCGGGGGAGCACUACAAGGGGUGGAGCGUGCGGUUUAAUUGGAUUCAACGCCGGGAACCUCACCGGGGGCGACGGCAGGAUGAAGGCCAGGCUGAAGGUCUUGCCGGACGCGCCGAGAGGAGGUGCAUGGCCGCCGUCAGCUCGUACCGUGAGGCGUCCACUUAAGUGUGGUAACGAGCGAGACCCGCGCCCCCAGUUGCCAGUCCUCCCCGCUGGGGAGGAGGCACUCUGGGGGGACCGCCGGCGAUAAGCCGGAGGAAGGAGCGGGCGACGGUAGGUCAGUAUGCCCCGAAACCCCCGGGCUACACGCGCGCUACAAUGGGCGGGACAAUGGGAACCGACCCCGAAAGGGGAAGGGAAUCCCCUAAACCCGCCCCCAGUUCGGAUCGCGGGCUGCAACUCGCCCGCGUGAAGCUGGAAUCCCUAGUACCCGCGUGUCAU